rnacentral:rRNA from 1 species
AUGGCCGGCGGCCGAUCGCACGCGCCGCGCCGCGCGGCGUUCGCGGCGCUGGUCACGCUCCUCUUCCUCGCCUGCGUCUUCUUCUUCUUGUCCGCGACCACCAUCACCACGGCGGUCCCCAACUCCCCGGCCUGGCGCCUGGCGGCCGUCCGCCGGCACGCGGAGGACCACGCGGCCGUGCUGGCGGCGUACGCGGCCCACGCGCGCCGCCUCAGCUCCGACUCCGCGUCCCAGACGGAGUCCUUCCUGUCCACUUCCUCGCGCCUCUCCGCGCUCUCCUCCCGCCUCUCCGUCUCCACGGUGGCGCUGCUGGAGAAGGAGGCCCGCGGGCACGUGAAGCGCGCGCGCGCCCUCGCCGCGGGCGCCAAGGAGGCGUUCGACACGCAGUCCAAGAUCCUGAAGCUCUCCGACACCGUCUUCGCCGUCGGGCAGCAGCUCCUCCGCGCCCGCCGCGACGGCCAGCUCAACUCGCGCAUCGCCGCGGUCUCCACGCCCAAGUCCCUCCACUGCCUCGCCAUGCGGCUCAUGGAGUCCCUCCUCGCCAACGCGUCCGCCGUCCCCGACGCCGACCCCGCCAUCCCGCCGCCGGAGCUCACCGACCCGUCGCUGUACCACUACGCCAUCUUCUCCGACAACAUCCUCGCGGUGUCCGUCGUGGUGGCCUCCGCCGCGCGCGCCGCGACCGAGCCCUCGCGCCACGUCUUCCACGUGGUCACCGCGCCCAUGUACCUCCCGGCCUUCCGCGUCUGGUUCGCGCGCAGGCCGCCGCCGCUGGGCGCGCACGUGCAGCUCCUCGCGGCCUCCGACUUCCCAUUCCUCAACGCCUCCUACUCGCCCGUGCUGAGGCAGAUCGAGGCCGGGAACAGGGACGUGGCGCUGCGGGAGCUCGACUACCUGCGGUUCUACCUCCCCGAGAUGUUCCCGGCGCUGCAGCGGGUGGUGCUCCUGGAGGACGACGUGGUGGUGCAGAGGGACCUGGCCGAGCUGUGGCGCGUCGACCUGGGCGGCCAAGUGAACGGCGCGCUGGACACCUGCUUCGGCGGGUUCCGGCGGUACGGCAAGUACCUCAACUUCUCGGAGGCCGCCGUGCGGGAGCGGUUCAGCCCCAGCGCGUGCGCCUGGUCCUACGGCGUCAACGUGUUCGACCUCCAGGCGUGGCGCCGCGACCAGUGCACCGACCAGUUCCACCAGCUCAUGGACAUGAACGAGAACGGGACGUUGUGGGACGCGGCCUCCGUGCUGCCGGCAGGGCUGAUGACGUUCUACGGCAACACGAGGCCGCUGGACAGGUGGUGGCACGUCAUGGGUCUCGGCUACAACCCGCACGUCAGGCCCGAAGACAUCCGGGGAGCCGCGGUGAUACACUUCAACGGCAACUUGAAGCCAUGGCUCGACGUCGCCUUCAACCAGUACAAGCAUCUCUGGACAAAGUACGUCGACACCGACAUGGAGUUCCUCACGCUUUGCAACUUCGGGCUCUGA